CGGGGCAUAGCUCAGCCUGGUUAGAGCGCACGGUUCGGGACCGUGAGGUCGGUGGUUCAAAUCCACUUGCCCCGACCA
rnacentral:tRNA from 1 species